GACGAACGCUGGCGGCGUGCCUAAUACAUGCAAGUUGAGCGCUGAAGGUUGGUACUUGUACCAACUGGAUGAGCAGCGAACGGGUGAGUAACGCGUGGGGAAUCUGCCUUUGAGCGGGGGACAACAUUUGGAAACGAAUGCUAAUACCGCAUAAAAACUUUAAACACAAGUUUUAAGUUUGAAAGAUGCAAUUGCAUCACUCAAAGAUGAUCCCGCGUUGUAUUAGCUAGUUGGUGAGGUAAAGGCUCACCAAGGCGAUGAUACAUAGCCGACCUGAGAGGGUGAGCGGACACAUUGGGACUGCGACACGGCCCAAACUCCUACGGGAGGCAGCAGUAGGGAAUCUUCGGCAAUGGACGAAAGUCUGACCGAGCAACGCCGCGUGAGUGAAGAAGGGUUUCGGAUCGGAUAACUCGGUUGGUAGAGAAGAACGUUGGUGAGAGUGGAAAGCUCAUCAAGUGACGGUAACUACCCAGAAAGGGACGGCUAACUACGUG
rnacentral:rRNA from 1 species